GGGGCUGUUCGCCAUUUAAAGUGGUACGCGAGCUGGGUUUAGAACGUCGUGAGACAGUUCGGUCCCUAUCUGCCGUGGGCGCUGGAGAACUGAGGGGGGCUGCUCCUAGUACGAGAGGACCGGAGUGGACGCAUCACUGGUGUUCGGGUUGUCAUGCCAAUGGCACUGCCCGGUAGCUAAAUGCGGAAGAGAUAAGUGCUGAAAGCAUCUAAGCACGAAACUUGCCCCGAGAUGAGUUCUCCCUGAGACUUWRAGUCUCCUGAAGGAACGUUGAAGACGACGACGUUGAUAGGCCGGGUGUGUAAGCGCAGCGAUGCGUUGAGCUAACCGGUACUAAUGAACCGUGAGGCUUAACCUU
rnacentral:rRNA from 1 species